GUUGAAUAUCCUUUAGUGUCGGAAAGAUAUCCACUAUUAUAUUUUGCAACUCGUAAUAUCUAUUUUAUCGUAAGAUUUCAAGUAUGCAUGCAUCAUCUCUUUAUCGGUGUCUCGUUGUAACGUUCUGCUUUUAUUUAUGAAGGGGAUGUAAGUUCUUAAUGAUGUAAUUAAGUUAGGUCUUGUUGUCAUAUACUAUAUGUGAUUCAUUGAAUUUAGUUAGGUAAAUAAGCAAUGUGUUGGUAACCUGUCAAUUGGUUAAUACCCGAAAUGCCAAACACGAGCUGCUUACGGAAACAUCAUACGGAAACAUCAUGUCCCUCAAUAAUCACGCAACAAAAUGUAUCAUGUAAAACGCAGAAAUUAGCAUUGCUUUUAACUAUUACUAAUAUUUUGCAAAAAUAUAUGGGCAUAGAAAGAAGAUACUAUCGUAACGAUUAGAUUUUUUUUUUAUGACAACAGCGAUUAGAAUUUAGAAAACACUAAAACCAAAGAAAAAUAAAUAUUGGACCAACUGUCCCACUAGGAACACACUAUUAUAUGAUAUAUCCACCACACGAAAUACUUUUUUUUUGUAAAACACCACAC
rnacentral:lncRNA from 1 species